rnacentral:tRNA from 1 species
GACGUUUUGGCCGAGCGGUUAAGGCGACACCCUGCUAUUCCUUAGUAUAGGUGUUCUCUUCGGAGGCACAGGUUCGAAUCCUGUAGACGUCG